rnacentral:lncRNA from 1 species
AUCUGUAAAUUAAGAGGGCAUGUUAUCAACAACCUCAAGGUAAAUCAUAUUGUAAGAUAACCCAUUUAAGGUCAGAUGAAGCUCGGGAAAUCGAGAAUGGAAAACCCUGAAAGAAAAGACACCCUCGCUCUCAGGUAGGGAAAGAGUAGGAACUUUGCAGGACUCGUGGACAAAGGCAUAUCUGAUUGCACUCUCAACGCUUCUUGAAUCAGAUUCAAUGCUCAUGGUAUGGAAACAUCCUGAUUUUUCGUCAUGAUGGAUACUAGUAUCCAUAGCACCAUCUGAAUCCGUCACUUCGAAAAUGAGGUUUGUAAGAUUUGAACCAGCAGCACAGCAGUCAGGCAGCUGAUUAAAACAAACAAUUUCAGAAUGAGUAGGUAGAGAAGAUGAAAGACAGAACUCCAGUACAAGAGAAACAAACUAAGACUGCAUUGAAACAAUCAACCUAUGUUACUGAUACGUACCUUUGUUAAGAGCAUGAGCUCUCGUCUCUCAAUCAGAGACUCUUUCUUAAAGAUCUCAUCAAUACCAUACAUAACAGAGAGUGAUACUACAUAGAAAAACAAUAGAAAAUAAGAAGAUAUUAGUUGUUACAUCUUACUUGAAGUGUUUCACCUACCUAAACUGUAUGAAAUGUGGCCUCUGUCAUAACUCUAAAAGAAGGGUAGCAGAUGUUACUAGAUUUCCCAUAGCUGGCCGUGACUUGGAGAAUUCCAGACAGAUCAACGCAGCCACAACUAUUGACCUAUGACGUGAUCAAUAAACUUAAAGAGUAAAUAGAUCAUUGGUUAACACAGUCACCAAAAAGACCAGUUGAUAGAAAACUAAGCAUAUAAUAUGGUAUCCUAGAAGUUCAUUGAAAUAAUCGUAAGCACAUAAGCUCCUCUCACCUUUCGGUUAAAGCCCAUCGGGUCUUUGAUACAAUAGCCCUCAAUACAUAUCAGAACAUUAGUACCUUCUGCAACAUGGUUAUUAUAUCCAUCGAACACCUGCAUAAAAAACAGUGUACUCAGCUUGAUUUGAUGGAAUUAUUCAUUACUUAAAUGAAUAGAUCUUUAAAUACGUAUACCUCCAAGAUAUAAUUUUGAACAGUAGAGCCUGGAAGCAAAUAUUCCAAAGACUCUGGAUACAUCUCAACAACAUGCUUCAGAGGCCGAGGAUUAACUGAAAUAUGACACGCUUGUGAAGUAAAUAAUCAUUCUACAAAAAAGUACUCUUCUAAAUCAGCUUAGUUUGUGUCUCAAAGCAUUUCCUACUGUUGUCAAUUUUCUCAGUUCCAUAAACAAAGUAGAAAUUACAAAAGGUCAGUUAGUUGGAGUAACAUUAGUACUGAUUGAUACACUCCAGCUCUUAUUUUGUUCUACGUUUUAAGUAUAUAUUAAUAACUCUUUUGUGUAUCUUACUACAAGCUUUUGUAGCACAGACAUAUAAAAACUGUUCCUAUACAAAAUUAAAGCAGUAGGCUUACCUUUACAAGCAACUAAGACGGAAAAUGGUUCGUCCUUUGAGCAUAUCUCUAAGGUUGCCUCAUAAUCUGGCCUGAUAUUAUCUAACUUAUCAGUCUCAACGAGCAUAUUCUGCAUUAGUUUCAGAAAAUUGGAAAGUUAUAGACUUUGCCAGUAGAUUAACAGCCAUCAAAGGUCUUCUUCAGCUGCCACCAGGGUCUAAUUUGGUAUCUACUCUCUCUCGAUGACAAAAUUAUAGUCAUAACAUUAGUGCUUGAAGAUGGUAAAUACCUCGACUUUGAGAAUUCCAUGAUCUACCAGGUUGGCCCUCAAUCAUAUCAAUCUUUAUUUGGAAUCCAGGGCUGGCGUUCAGUUCAACUUCCAGUGUUGGAACAGAAGUGAAUGCUAUCUGAUUUUCAUAUUCAUCAAAGCAUGCGAUAGAGCAAGGAGGAAGUGAGGAACCCACCCUGUAGAGACACACCAUUAAAUUGAUCAAGUCUGCAAUCUUAAGUGCAGGAACAAGAGAAAGGUCACAUAUAUGUGCCAUUCUGAAGCGUAUAAGAGUCUUACUGAACAUUAUACUGCCGCGCGGACUCAACAUUAGAAGCAAGUUUCCAACUUCCCACCUUCGAAGAAGGUUCAACAACCUUCUUUUUGUUAGUAGUAAUUGAGUUUCCCUGAAAGGAAAGUGUUCAAACAAUUGGUUAUAUGAUUACUCGAAAAACUUAAAUGGCAGAUAGAGAUUAUAACAUGACUUACAAUAGAGAAACAAAAGUUGUAAAUGCAAGCUUUGUUGAACAUGUUUGGGAGCUUCGACUCAAGGGGAAAGAUGUAGAGACCAUGGAAUCCACUACAGAAUGUAGGUGAACAGUGAUGUGAAUACAAAUGUUUGGUAUUCUUAUCCCUUGAUUUUGUAUUCGUGUCUUGAAAUUCUACUUCCAUGAGCAUGUUCCCAUCCAUCUUCACAAUAUGUUUGCUAUCAAAUGCUGGAGCAAAUGCAGAAAGACACUUAACUGAACUGUUGAAGGGUUGAUACCUUUUUUUAUUUCACUCUGAAAAAAUCGAAUCUGAAACCAAAAUUCUCGACCCUUGGAGUUUAGGUUGGUAGUGGCAAACUCUCCACCUGUUAUCUCAGCUUAAUCCUCUCCAUUGACCUGGAAAACGUAUAGAAAAAGAAAAGAACAAGGAAAUUAGAAAAGAUUGAAACUAAAAGCACUAAAAAUAAUUUUUAUUAGAAUGAUAAUAUUAAACCCCAAACAUCUUUGAAAAUAAUAACAAACCUGAAACUCUACAGGCCUUUCCGUCCUCCCAGUUUUAGAGAUUUCAUCACACUACAGGUUGACAAAAGAAGAAUGAAACCUCCCGACAAAGAAACACCAUAAUAAAGAGAUCACCACAUAUUGUAUUAAUAUUAGCCAACGAAAACCUGGAUGUAAGGAAAAUAUAUAUCCUUAAGUCUGCACUGAAGUUGAUAUAUUUCUGGAAUCUUACAUUCCGAUUCAAAUAUCUCAACCUGGAAAUAAAAAAAAAAUAGCAGUUUCAGAUAAGCAGAUGCAUAUUAUAACGAGCUGUUUCAUGAAAAUAGAGGACCAUAUAUUAAGGGCACGCAGGAGAAAGUGGAAAUAUGGUUAUAGGACUCUAGAGCAGCACCAAAAACUUUAAUUUAUGCACAAUCUUAUCGUUAGAGCAUAAUGAUUCAAUUAAAAGUUAAAAAAUCAAGAAAUCCAAGUGACUCAGAAUUUAGGAGAACAUUUGUCCCCAAGAAAGUAGCAACAAAAAAUAUGGUUUGUACCUUUGUGAAGCUUCCAUGAGGUGAUAGCUUGAUUUCCUCCUCCAGAGGAUCCCUCAUUCCACCAUCAGCAUUUAAUGACAUAGACUAUGACGAGCAAUAAAGGAAGAUGAAUGUAUUAUUACCUUCCAGUUUUUUCCUAAGAUAGAACGAUUGUCAGUCAAAGCUUCUCGAUUGAGUUGCAAGGUGAACACUUUCUUAGACAGUUUCGUCUUUGAAGACACCAAAGUACGCCUAAUCAUAGAAGAGAGUUAAACGCACCAAGGAAGGCAGACAAUCAUUGGUUGACGUCAACAUUAAUAGGUAAACAGAUAAUGAAUUCUCACCUUCCCAAAUGCAUACACGCAUAAGGACCUCCAUAUCCAAACAUCCCAAAGAAUGGCUACGUAGCAAAAGAGUGAAUCUUCCUCAGAUUAGUAAAUUACUCAACUUUGCCACAUAGGUGUACUAGUCUAGUCGAGUUCAUUACUUUUCAAUUCAAAAAUGUAUGUCUUGCUAUGUAGAAACACUCAUGAUAAUUUAUAAACUGCAAGCAAAAAAAAGUUCUAAGAUUCUUGAGACAGAGUUAACUACCAUAAGGUAUGGUGGUAUGCCUCCAAUAGCUUUGGAUUUGUGAGACCUAUGUAAUGAUGCCCCUAUUUUCCCCCUGCACAGUGUUAUAGAAAUGAAGACUGCUUAAAGAUCAAACUCGCGGUGUCAACAUGAGUAAGGAAAAUUAGAUUGAAGUAUGAAGUUAUUUAUGACGUCACCACCACCACUAUUGCGACUAUGAUGACGUCACCAUCACCACUACCAUGUUGUCACCACCACAACCACGUCAUCACCGCCACUACUACCAUCAUCUUCACCACCAUAACGACCACCAUAACGUCACCACCACCACAGCAAUCACCAUAACGUCACCAUCACCACUAUCACUAUCACUACCACCACCGCCGCAACCACCAUGACAGUCACCACCACCACUGCUACCUCCACCACCAUCGCCGUUGUCCCAACCACCACUAUAUCACCACCACCACUACCAAAACUAUGUCAUCACCACCAUACCGUCACCAUCACCAUCACCGAGUUAUUACCAUCACCACCACCACUACUUACAUUUUAUUAAAAAUGUUUCGUUCUAUACUAUUUCAUUAGAUUCUAUACUAUUUCAUUUUUUUUUUUUUUUUUUGAAUAACCGCGGGUCUCCCAAAGACUUCCUAGGCCCAAGGACUAAUCCCACGAGGCUGGCAAUUCCCUUAUGUAAACCUGCCAGUGGCCGUGCCUCGAACCCUGGUGGCGGAAGUCACAGCUGUGACCCAUUUACCACUAGGCCACAAGACCCGGUUAUUCUAUACUAUCUCAUUUAGAUUCUAAAGUUUAACUUGGUAGAUUAGGUUUCAUAUGUACUAUUCCUAAAGAUAUAACAAUAUAAUUUCUGUCAUGCGUUUAAUUCGGUAUUUGGGUUCCCUAUAUUGUAUCUCUUAGGGUAUAGUGUUUAUUUUCCGAUGUACGUUUAACACAAAUUUAUGAAAAAUUAAUAAAUUUCUUAGUAAUAACAUAUUAUGCAAUUACAUUUUAUUUUACUCUAUACAAUUUCAUUUUAUGUAAUUCUAUUUAGACAUUAAAUUUUUAUCAUUAACCACCUUUUUCAUAAACUUAUCUGUUUUAAAAAAUUAAAUCAUGAUACAUUCAGAAAAGUAUAUAAAUUUUUUAUAGAAGAAUCAUGACUUUGAAAUUUUUUAUUAAAACAAAAGAAAUUGAGUUACAAUUAAAAGGGGUAAAGAAAAAAUAUAUUUCUCUCUCCUGCUCCUCAUCCUUGAACUCCAAGGAUUGAGCUUCUUUCUGCCACCUCAGCUGAAUGUUUUUCUCCUUUGGUGCUUCAUCUCGACACUAGUUUAGUCUUUUCCCUGUCCCUUAUGUUACUUUCUUAAUAUUUUUGAAUAUAGUGCAAUAUUCUUAAUUUGAGAUUGUAUUUUGGUUAUAGAGCAAAUUCGAAGUGAUCUUGGUCUAGUGGCAAAUGAUAAGUCCACAGAAGACAGACACCAUCACACCAGGGAUCGAAUCCCCGACUCUACAAUUUAAUUGUAGAAAUUAGGCUAAUGGGCCGGCCAGUUGUGGCCCAAAUGUUGACAAAAAAAAAAAAAAAAAAAAAAACAAAUUCACCCUAUAUAUAGUAUAUAUAAUUGACUUGUGUUUUCAGAUAUAUAGUGACGAUAUUAUGUGUUAUUGUCAUUAGGAGUUGAUAAAAUUGAAACUUUUCUAUAAUACAUUUCACUUGAUUUGAUUUUAAGCGAAUAUUCAAUUUUAAUUAAAUGCCCAUAUCUUCUGCUAUUCGCAAGAGCUUUUGUUAUUUUCAGCAAAACACCAAACCUUUUUAUAUUUACCAAAAUAGCCAGAACGUUUAGUAAACUACCGAAUUGCUCCAAAUCUUUAGCUAUUUACAAAAGUACUAGAUUAAGAAAACUUUUUUAAAGUAGAACCUAAGAAUAAGAAGAGUCUGCUGCCAUAGCAGUAAAAUGUUGGUAUUUCUCAUUUGCCUUCUUCAACUUUUUCACCACCUUACGCAACUUACAAUUCUCCUCAGUCAUCAUCUGCUCAACCUUUCUCUUCUUGUCUCUUAUUAUUUCCAGUUGCACCAAUGCCUUCUCUUGCCUCUCCGUUACGGUUAUUGGAAAAUGAAUUUCCGGUGUACUGACACAAGCCCAAAUAACAAUAAUAAUCAAAGAUCAUCAACACUCACAAUAACCAAGACAGAUUAAAAAAAAUAAAGCAAAAAUCUUGGAAGGUUUCUUCUAGGCUUCCAAGCUUUACAGUUCCAAACUUUAUAACUGAAAUGAGUUUUUAAGGAUAAAGAGAAACAUGUACCAGCAACCGGAGUAUAUGAAACCGUUUUCUCUGGCGAUCACACCAUCUAGAGACACAGCGUCUCCACCAUUGAUGUGAGGAAGAGCUGCUUCAAGAUGCUCCCCGGUCUCAUAUACCUGCAACUCUCCAAAAACUCCAUAGAACAGCGUCUCUCUAAGCCCGUAACCUGAGCUUGAUUGUAUAUUCAGCUCCUCUGAAGAUAAAUCUAUCAUGUUCACGGCAUAGCCUUUGAAGCCCAGUAUAGGAUCUCCAUUCGGCAGGUAAGGGUUAUCCAUGGCUAAUCUCUUCUGAGGAUCAUUCUUCACAAGUCCGUUCCUCCAAGGUCUGCAUGUUUUGAACCAGAAAACAUUUGGCUAAGCAAUAGAUUAACCGGAAACCAAAUAUCAAAGGAAGAGUACAAAAAUACCUAAUUGCAUCGAGACAAAUAACAAGAAACCGAUUGGUGAUAGAUCGUCCGAGGCUAGCAGCUUCAGAUUGAAGCUUGCGAUACUCAUCGCUUUUAGGUCCAAAUUGUGAUGAUUUGCAUACCAACGAAAGCAUUGUGUCUUUCCCCAAAUAUUCAGACAAAACCCUGUCAUACCAAAUAACUUAGGAAAUUGAAGAGUUGCCCCAAGUGUAGAAACUAUGAAUAUGAUCAGAAAAACUGUGGCUAUAAAACCGAUGUCACCUGCUUAGUGACGUGGAGGCAACUGAACCAAGAAGCGCUACUAGGCCAAACAUUCCUUUCUUUGACAGAAACAGAGACUGUGGAGGCGGAGCCUUUCUGUACAGACAACAGAACACUGAUGCUGCAGUGUCAUGAUGCUUAUCUUCGAUUUGCUUCAUCAUUAAUUCUUUGGUGGAUAGGCAUUCUGGAAAUGAUGCACCAAGAGGUUCCAGAGAGGCUGAGAUGAAAUUCACAUGAACAGGUAAGAAUUACCAGUUUAUGCUAUGAUCCGCCAUUCUUUUGAAUUAGAAAAACUGUUGAAAUAAGACUUAUGUUCUAAUAAACAUUUUGUGAAACUCUCCAUUAAGUAUGAAGCAUGCUCAAAACUAAAGAUGUGGGCAAUGUUUUAGACACCAAAUUUAGGGAUAGUGUUUCAAAAACAGAAAGCAAAUGAAAAAAUAGCACCAAUGCAGCUUCAAGUUCAAACCCCAUCAUAGUUAUCAAACGUUGACAAAUCAAGAUAAUAGUUACCUUGCAGCCUACUACAUUCUUGCUCAGCAUGUUCAUGUUGAUCCUGCAAACAUUUUAGGCGCUUAUCUAAUUCAACUCGGAGUUCUUCCUCACUAUUAAUUGUUUCUUUUAAACUCUGCAGUAAGAAAUGAACAUUUUCAAACAUGCGGCUAAGAUGAACUCGGAAUACAAAAGCUAGAUCAUUCUAGAUGUUUUUUUUGCUUGCACUAAGGUAUAAAUGAUAGAGAAAUAUCAAUAUUUACCGCUUAAAUGGUGAUGGCCAUACCUCAGUGUACUGUGCUAUAUCCAUCAGGCCAGUUUGGCUACAGAGAGCCAAUGAUGAUGACCUAAUGGCCAAAACUCCAAACUGUGAACAUGGAGUCGAAGAUGGAUUUGUGAUUGAAGGCAUCCCCGAUUCAGGUGGUGGAGUUGUUGAAUAUGGUGUCGAAUACCCAAUCUCAUCUCUUUCAAAUGUGGGAGCACAUGUUACCUGAAUCCGAAAAAUUGAAUACAACAGAAUCAGAGUGAAAAAGUGAGUUAGCACGAACUUGAACUGAAAAUUCUACCCAUGGUAGAAACAUAUUGCAGUAUAUACCCAAAUUCACAAGUAAAUUACUACCUUUACGCUCAUAUGCAGCUCAGGAUAUCGAGAAUGGAACACCCUGUAAGAAAAGACACCCUCGUUUUCAGGUAGGGAAAGAGAAGGAACUUUGCAGGACCCGUGGACAAAGGCAUAUCUGAUUGUACUCUCAACG